rnacentral:rRNA from 1 species
GGCUCAGGACGAACGCUGGCGGCGUGCCUAAUACAUGCAAGUCGAGCGAACCAAUUGAAAGCCUAGCUUUCAUGAGGUUAGCGGCGGACGGGUGAGUAACACGUGGGUAACCUGCCCUAUAGACUGGGAUAACUCGCGGAAACGCGUGCUAAUACCGGAUAAUACAUCAAAGUGCAUGCUUUGAUGUUGAAAGAUGGUUCUGCUAUCACUAUAGGAUGGGCCCGCGGCGCAUUAGCUUGUUGGUGGGGUAACGGCCUACCAAGGCGACGAUGCGUAGCCGACCUGAGAGGGUGAUCGGCCACACUGGGACUGAGACAUGGCCCAGACUCCUACGGGAGGCAGCAGUAGGGAAUCUUCCACAAUGGGCGAAAGCCUGAUGGAGCAACGCCGCGUGAGCGAAGAAGGUCUUCGGAUCGUAAAGCUCUGUUGUAAGGGAAGAACAAGUGCAGUAGUAACUGGCUGCACCUUGACGGUACCUUACUAGAAAGCCACGGCUAACUACGUGCCAGCAGCCGCGGUAAUACGUAGGUGGCAAGCGUUGUCCGGAAUUAUUGGGCGUAAAGCGCGCGCAGGCGGUCUCUUAAGUCUGAUGUGAAAGCCCCCGGCUUAACCGGGGAGGGUCAUUGGAAACUGGGAGACUUGAGUGCAGGAGAGGGAAGCGGAAUUCCAUGUGUAGCGGUGAAAUGCGUAGAGAUAUGGAGGAACACCAGUGGCGAAGGCGGCUUCCUGGCCUGUAACUGACGCUGAGGCGCGAAAGCGUGGGGAGCAAACAGGAUUAGAUACCCUGGUAGUCCACGCCGUAAACGAUGAGUGCUAAGUGUUAGGGGGUUUCCACCCCUUAGUGCUGCAGCUAACGCAUUAAGCACUCCGCCUGGGGAGUACGGUCGCAAGACUGAAACUCAAAGGAAUUGACGG